rnacentral:RNase_P_RNA from 2 species
UGAGCAGACUAUGCGGUAGCGGAAACGCUUUAGUUUACGAGGAAAGUCCGAGCAUCACAGAGCAGGAUAGCUGCUAACGGCAGCCGAGGGCGACCUUAGGGNNNNNNNGCGACCUUAGGGCUAGUGCAACAGAGAUAUACUGCCUUGUUUUCAAGGUGAUGGUGGAAAGGUAGAGUAAGAGCCUACCAGAGUACAGGAGACUGUGCUGCUAUGUAAACCCUAUUCGAUGCAACGUCUAUUGGUGCUUUAUAUCAUAACAUCUGCUCGGUGGAUAUAAAGUAAUGACGGCUUGAGCUUAUCGGCGACGAUAAGCCUAGAUAAAUUACCGCACACGACAGAACUCGGCUUAUCGGUCUGGUUACAAA